AAGUCCUUCCCACAGAGAGCGGUUUGAUAUGUCACUGAAACCAGCAUCCAGGUGGUAUUGCUCCAUAUGCCUGAGACCCUAACAAAAGCCUAAUUACAACUCAUAUGCCUGGAGCCAGGACAUGUGCAGGAUGGUGAUGUAACUUUCCUCUCUGGAAUGGGUCCUGCACAAAGGAAUGAUAGUAACAUAUUGCAAAGCCAGACACACAGCCAUGAUGGUCCAAGUUAUAUUGGGAUUCAGCCAAUAGAAGAUAUUUUGCCUGUCAUCCCUAAGCUUAGGACAAUAGACUCUGCCAAGAGAGGGGAUUAUUACAUAUUGCAGAGCCCAGCACCUAGGUGGAGUGACUCUCAUCUUUUUCUUCUACCCCGUAUAUAGCCAGCUUGGUGACCUACUAUUUGAGUCUAUACCCAGGCCCAGACCACAGAUGAAAUUGUGCAAUAUGUGGAACAAACACCUAAACAAUAUAUAACACCUUCCUUGGCUCUGUCUACAAAGGGCACUUUUAUAUAUCACUGGGACCAUCAACCAGGUGAUGUUGUGCCAUAUAACUGAGACCGUAUCAAAAGCCUAAUAACAAGACGUAUGUCUGGAGCCCCGAUAUGCACAGGAUGGUGAUAUAACCCUCUUCUCUGGAAUGGGCCCCACACAAAGGAAGGAUAGUGACAUAUUGCAAGCCCAGGCACACAGGCCCAGAGCACAGUUGAAAUUGUGACAUAUGUACACCAAGCAACCAAGCAAUGUAUAACACCUCAUUUGGCAAUGGAAUCGAGGGCACUUUUACAUAUCACUGAGACCAGCGCCCAGCUGAUGUGAAAUAUUGGCCUGAACCCUGCCUACAAAAGCAUUGUGGCUUUUAUCUAGCUCCAUUACAUAAGUGAUGUGACUUCCUUCUACUGCCUUGGCCCUGCACUUAUGGUGAAUCGUGACACAAAAUUGGGUAGAGCAACCAGCCUGGGCCCUGACCAGCACAGAGAUUGAGGCAUAUUGCUGAACCCAGGACCAAGAUGAAGUCACUCUCCUGCCUUGAUCCUGCACACAGGGACCCUUGUGACAUAUAUACAGGCCAAUUGCCUAGGUAAAGUUUGUCUCCUCUCCUGCCUAAGCCCUGCCCAUGGGGAGGAUUUAGAUAUAUCACUGAAACCAGCAUCCAGGUGAUAUGACUCUUUUUCCAGAGUCUUGUGACAUUUCACUGGACCAGCACCCACUCAGGUGAUGUGACUUUCCUUUCUUCUCCCCACCCACAGGUGAUGUUGUGCAAUAUACCUGAGACCA
rnacentral:lncRNA from 1 species